rnacentral:lncRNA from 1 species
AAAAAAUCAAAGCGAAUCCUAAAGUUUUAAGUUUCUAUUCAGUCUUCUUUCCAUAUCGUCGAACUCUGGUACUAAUAGUCAAAUCCGGUAAUGAACUUUGCAUUCGAUCCAUCAUUCGACUUUUAGUUCAAUCGAUCUAUCACUCGGCAUCAAAUGGUGCCUUUUCGAUCUAUCAUUCAACCCCCAUCAAUUGUGCCAUCAGAUGUUCCAGUCCAAUUUUCUAAUUUGCUCAGAUGAUGAACGGGGGAUGAAGAAAUUACCGGUGGACA